rnacentral:rRNA from 1 species
UUAAAGCUAGCCUAUAUAUUAAUUCAACUAGACCUUAUAAAUCUAAUCUAUAUUACAGUUUUUAAUCAAAACAUUCUCAACCUUCUAGUAUGGGUGACAGAACAAUAACCCCAGCGCAAUAGCUUAUGUACCGCAAGGGAAAGCUGAAAAAGAAAUGAAAUAAAUCAUUAAAGUACUAAAAAGCAGAGAUGAUACCUCGUACCUUUUGCAUCAUGAUUUAGCUAGAAAAACUAGGCAAAAAGACCUUAAGUCUAUCUCCCCGAAACUAAACGAGCUACUCCGAAGCAGCAUUAUAGAGCUAACCCGUCUCUGUGGCAAAAGAGUGGGAAGACUUCCGAGUAGCGGUGAAAAGCCUACCGAGUUUAGUGAUAGCUGGUUACCCAAGAAAAGAACUUUAGUUCUGCAUUAAUUUUUCACUAUCUAGACAAGACUUACUCGUCAAAGAAUUCUAUAAGAAUUAAUAGUUAUUUAGAAGAGGUACAACCCUUCUAAAUCAAGACACAACUUUUUAAGGUGGGAAAUGAUCAUAAUUAUUAAGGUUACCAUCCUAGUGGGCCUAAAAGCAGUCACCUAUUAAGUAAGCGUCGCAGCUCUAAUCUAAUAAUUAAACCUUUAAUUCAGAUAUUCAUUCACAACCCCCUUCAUUCUAUUGGGUUAUUUUAUAUUUAUAUAAAAGAACUUAUGCUAAAAUGAGUAAUAAAGAGAAUAAAUCUCUCCCGACACAAGUGUAUGUCAGAAAGAAUUAAAUCACUGAUAAUUAAACGACCCCAAACUGAGGUCAUUAUAUCACAAUCAAUCAACUAGAAAACCCUAUUUUCCUACUCGUUACCCCUACACAGGAGUGUCAUCAGGAAAGA